CGUUGCGUGUGCGUGCGAGUGUGUGUGUGUGUGAGCAUGUGUGUGUGGAGAGUGAAGAAUGUAGGUUCUAGAAUACAGAGUCCAGUGCUUGGCACUGGAACUUACCUGCCACUUAAACUUGGGUUUCCAAAACUCAAGGUCACGCAUGCCACAUCACAGAAUGUCCCCUGGAGCACAGGCCCUUACAGCCAUAGUCCAGGCUCUAGGAGAAAGGGCCGAAGGGAUCACCUGUCGGCUGGGGCAGCACACCUAAGGCCUUUCUGGAAGUCCCACCCUGCCACUCACUCGCACGCUCCUCUGCGAGGAGCUGGGAACGGUUCAGGGUCACCCACGGCUGGGCCAUCGUGGUGGGUGUGGCAGAGAGAGGAGGGAAAGGACGCUGCGCAGGUGGCGGGCAGGAGGCUCCCUGCUCCACUCUGUCUGGGCCCCUUUUCCUUUCCUGGGCUUCUGGCUGUCCGGCCAGUGUGGUGGUCCAGGCCUGCAGGAGUUGGCACCGGGUCUGGAGGAAGGCAGAGACCCGUCCAGUGCCCUCAGGUCCUCAGGGUCAAGGUGGGUCUCCCUGUGCCUGUUUGCAGGUCAGCAUCCACAGGCAGGUCCAGGCCGGGUCUGCUGCCCAGGGCCAGGGUGUGGGCCCCAGGCUGCCAGGGUGGCACGGCCUCUGCUUUAUCUUGGGUCUGCCAGAUGGGCCCCGGAACCUGGUGACGAGUACGACAGUGUCUCAGCCCACAGCAGCCCCGGGAGCCACGUCCCGUUGUGCGGGUGCUGUCUUCCCCAGGUCCUUCCCCUCCUGUCCUGAAAGGAGCAGACCUGGGCCUCGGGGUUAGCCAUGACACCUACAAAGACCCUGCACCCACAAAGUGCGUGUUGUCCCGGGGCCUGCCUGCAGCCCAGUCCCAUGCAGAGCAUGGCUCCCUUCACCGCCCAAGGACAAGGGGUCGGGCCCCUUCACAGCCUUCCUGACCCAUGGCCACCAGCUGAGCUCCUCUUCAGAAUCCCUUCCCAAAGAACCCGACAGAUCUGCUUCUGCAGUGCUGGGGUUAAAGGGCCUCAGCUUGGAUGGCGGUCAGCCAGCGUCUCCUGCUUUGGCACCCACCCACGCCGCUGGUCUAUGUGCAGCCCGCCUGGCUGUGCGCAGUGUCCAGAAACCUGGGUAUCCAGCUGCCCAUCUUCCUGCCGACAUGUCCCCCAGCUGGUGCAUCCAGAGUGGACGGGAGCUGCGCGAAGCGGAUCGCAGAGCUCUGCGGUGGUGUGCUGAGUGGUCAAAGACAGAGUCGGCCAGGCUCCGUUUCUUUCUUUUUUUUUGAGAGAGAGAAAGAGAGAGAGAGAGAGAGAGUUUUUUUUAGUAUUUAUUUUUCAGUUUUCGGUGGACACAACAUCUUUGUGUGCAUGUGGUGCUGGGGAUUGAACCGGGGCUGCACGCAUGCCAGGCGAGCGCGCUACCGCUUGAGCCACAUCCCCAGCCCUCCCCCUUGCAUUUCAUAGUAGUGAGAGUGCUCUGGAGAUUCCUGGAGCAGGAAGUUGGAGUAUGGAAUAGUGAUAAAGAAAUACACGGUGUGUGCUCUUUCAGGAGAUGUGUGUGGUGGCUGUGGAUCAUUUCACUCCCUUCUCAGAGAUGAGGAGACUGAGGGUCAGAGUGGCCACUGGCCUAGGAGCACUAAGGCAUUUUCUAGUCAUUUGAUCUGUUCCCAUUUUCUCUUCACUAAAGUGAAGAUAAUAUACUUUAAAAAAUAAUGCUUAUCUUUCAGGAUUCUUUGGGGUCCAAAUCCUUACCUGC
rnacentral:lncRNA from 1 species